GGAACAUCCUGCCAUUUAUUAGAAGCAGAUGACAGGGUGGGUGGUAUCGUUAGGAUCGAUCAAUAUUACCACUCUUAUCAUUACUAGUUCCAUCCAAUACUCUCUGUCUGGAGUCCAGGCUGUGGUCUGUCUGCUGCCACCUGCUGGAAUAAAGCAGCACUGCAGACUGAAGACUCAGGUCGAGGCCAGAACAGUCAGAGGAAAAGUCUUCAAGCAACAAACUGAAAGUUCUUCAGCAACAUAUUCAUGUGUAAACCAGAUCCACGGAGGCCCCAUCCUGCAACCCACAGGACCAGACACCACAGGACACUCCCAGAGUGUACUGUAGAGCAG